rnacentral:tRNA from 2 species
GCACCCGUAGCUCAGCUGGAUAGAGCACCAGGCUUCGAACCUGGGAGUCGGGGGUUCGAAUCCCUCCGGGUGCGCCA